rnacentral:rRNA from 1 species
ACGAACGCUGGCGGCGUGCUUAACACAUGCAAGUCGAGCGGUAAGGCCCUUUCGGGGGUACACGAGCGGCGAACGGGUGAGUAACACGUGGGUGACCUGCCCUCAGCUCUGGGAUAAGCCCGGGAAACUGGGUCUAAUACUGGAUAUGACUCCAUGACGCAUGUUGUGGGGUGGAAAGCCUUGUGCGGCUGGGGAUGGGCCCGCGGCCUAUCAGCUUGUUGGUGGGGUGAUGGCCUACCAAGGCGACGACGGGUAGCCGGCCUGAGAGGGCGACCGGCCACACUGGGACUGAGACACGGCCCAGACUCCUACGGGAGGCAGCAGUGGGGAAUCUUGCGCAAUGGGCGAAAGCCUGACGCAGCGACGCCGCGUGA